UACGGGGGGGGGCAAGCGUUUGUUCGGAAUUACUGGGCGUAAAGGGCGCGUAGGCGGCUCGCUAAGUCGGAUGUGAAAACUCUGGGCUCAACCCAGAGCCUGCAUUCGAAACUGGGGAGCUCGAGUUCUGGAGGGGAAAGCGGAAUUCCUGGUGUAGCGGUGAAAUGCGUAGAUAUCAGGAGGAACACUGGUGGCGAAGGCGGCUUUCUGGACAGAAACUGACGCUGAUGCGCGAAAGCUAGGGGAGCAAACAGG
rnacentral:rRNA from 1 species